AUUGAACGCUGGCGGCAUGCUUUACACAUGCAAGUCGAACGGUAACAGGGAGCUUGCUCCGCUGACGAGUGGCGAACGGGUGAGUAAUGCGUCGGAACGUGCCGAGUAGUGGGGGAUAACGCAUCGAAAGGUGUGCUAAUACCGCAUACGAACUGAGGUUGAAAGUGGGGGACCUUCGGGCCUCACGCUAUUCGAGCGGCCGACGUCUGAUUAGCUAGUUGGUGAGGUAAAGGCUCACCAAGGCGACGAUCAGUAGCGGGUCUGAGAGGAUGAUCCGCCACACGGGGACUGAGACACGGCCCAGACUCCUACGGGAGGCAGCAGUGGGGAAUUUUGGACAAUGGGCGCAAGCCUGAUCCAGCCAUGCCGCGUGUCUGAAGAAGGCCUUCGGGUUGUAAAGGACUUUUGUCCGGGAGCAAAUGCUGGUGGCUAACAUCCACCGGAGCUGAGAGUACCGGAAGAAUAAGCACCGGCUAACUACGUGCCAGCCGCCGCUGUAAAAC
rnacentral:rRNA from 1 species